rnacentral:rRNA from 1 species
GUUGUAUAGUUAAGUGACUAAGCGUACAAGGUGGAUGCCUUGGCAAUCAGAGGCGAAGAAGGACGUGCUAAUCUGCGAAAAGCUUGGAUGAGUCGAUAAGAGGCGUUUAAUCCAAGAUAUCCGAAUGGGGAAACCCAGUAGAUGAAGAAUCUACUAUCAACAAGUGAAUACAUAGCUUGUUGAGGCAAACCGGGAGAACUGAAACAUCUAAGUACCCCGAGGAAAAGAAAUCAACCGAGAUUUCGUCAGUAGCGGCGAGCGAAAGCGAAAGAGCCAGUAAGUGAUAGCAGUAUAGUUAGGAGAAUGUGUUGGGAAGCACAAUCAAAGAGGGUGAUAAUCCCGUAUCUAAAAACCAUAUUGUGGUACUAAGCUAACGAGAAGUAGGGCGGGACACGUGAUAUCCUGUUUGAAGAAGGGGGGACCAUCCUCCAAGGCUAAAUACUCCUGAUUGACCGAUAGUGAACCAGUACUGUGAAGGAAAGGCGAAAAGAACCCCGGUGAGGGGAGUGAAAUAGAACCUGAAACCUUGUACGUACAAGCAGUGGGAGCCCGAAAGGGUGACUGCGUACCUUUUGUAUAAUGGGUCAGCGACUUAUAUUUUGUAGCGAGGUUAACCGAAUAGGGGAGCCGAAGGGAAACCGAGUCUUAACUGGGCGACUAGUUGCAAGGUAUAGACCCGAAACCCGGUGAUCUAGCCAUGGGCAGGUUGAAGGUUGGGUAACACUAACUGGAGGACCGAACCGACUAAUGUUGAAAAAUUAGCGGAUGACUUGUGGCUGGGGGUG